UAGGGAAUAUUGGACAAUGGGGGCAACCCUGAUCCAGCCAUGCCGCGUGAGUGAAGAAGGCCCUCGGGUUGUAAAGCUCUUUUGUCCGGAAAGAAAAGCUUCGGGUUAAUACCCCGGGGUUCUGACGGUACCGGAAGAAUAAGCACCGGCUAACUUCGUGCCAGCAGCCGCGGUAAUACGAAGGGUGCGAGCGUUACUCGGAAUUACUGGGCGUAAAGCGUGCGUAGGUGGUUGUUUAAGUCUGAUGUGAAAGCCCUGGGCUCAACCUGGGAAUGGCAUUGGAAACUGGGCAGCUAGAGUGCGGUAGAGGGUAGUGGAAUUCCCGGUGUAGCAGUGAAAUGCGUAGAGAUCGGGAGGAACAUCUGUGGCGAAGGCGACUGCCUGGACCAGCACUGACACUGAGGCACGAAAGCGUGGGGAGCAAACA
rnacentral:rRNA from 1 species